rnacentral:lncRNA from 1 species
GCAGCGUCGCCGUUUCUCCUUUCUUGGGCAGUAUUUUUCCCAGCGCCACGCGGAGGCUGGGCCAUUAUGAGGUUUGUCUCUGCAUUUCCAGGACCUGGUCACUAUUCAGGACACGGUUCCAGCGCAGUGCGCGUUAGCCAUGUCUCAGCUCCAGACUGAGAGGACGCAGCAUAGAAAAUGCUUAUGAGUGGUUCAGACUCAGUAAUGGGAUGAGUGACAUUCCAAGAUGUGGCCAUUGACUUCUCCAAGGAAGAGUGGGGAUUCCUGAACCCUGCUCAGAGAGAUUUGUACACAACUGUGAUGCUGGAGAAUUAUCAGAACCUGGUCUGGCUGGGACUUUCCAUUUCUAAAUCUGUGAUUUCACUGUUGGAGAAAAGGAAACUGCCUUGGAUAAUGGCAAAAGAAGAGAUAAGAGGCCCAUUGCCAGGUGAGUAUGAAGAACCAACUAGCGGGGGUAAGCCAUGUAUAUGAAAGGCAUACCAGGUCUAGAGGGCAAAGCACCUUUAAGAUGUGAAAGAUGCUCUCUUCCAAUGUUCCAUACGUAUGUAGAAAUUGAGGCUCCUUGAGUUUGAGUUCCUAAAAGGGUACUGAUCACCCACCAUUUAUAUCUGCUUUUAUAAAUGCCUGUGGGCUCAGAAAUUACAGGUGUGUCUUUCCUCUUUGUCUAUGGUAAGCUUCCUUUUAAAUUCAGGAUCCUGUUUCUCAUGACUUUUUUUUUAUUUGACUCUUUGAUAUUGUUUUCUUUACUGUAAGAUGACUUAUAUAGUGGUCUGAUUGUUUGAAUGGGUGUAUUCAUUGGUCAUUUAUUCAUUAACAUUAAUUCCAUUUUUAAAACUAGUCAACUGUUGAGAGUCCCCAAGACCACCCCCAGGUUCAAGGACUUACUAGGAGUCGUCACAGGAGUCAUCAUAUCAUUGUAUUCAUGCCUGCAAAGUUAGUGAAUAGUCCAGAAGAACACCAUCAUUCUGAUGCCAGCUGCAAAGUAUGGGGGUCCCCAAGACCACCCUGAAUUCUGACACGAAUUGCAAAUCCAAAGGUCCCCAAGAUGACCCUCAGGUUUGAUAAUUCACUAGAAG